AGUGAACGCUGGCGGUAGGCCUAACACAUUCAAGUCGAACGGCAGCACAGGAGAGCUUGCUCUCUGGGUGGCGAGUGGCGGACGGGUGAGGAAUACAUCGGAAUCUACUCUGUCGUGGGGGAUAACGUAGGGAAACUUACGCUAAUACCGCAUACGACCUACGGGUGAAAGCAGGGGAUCUUCGGACCUUGCGCGAUUGAAUGAGCCGAUGUCGGAUUAGCUAGUUGGCGGGGUAAAGGCCCACCAAGGCGACGAUCCGUAGCUGGUCUGAGAGGGUGAUCACGCACACUGGAACUGAGACACGGUCCAGACGCCUAAGGGAGGCAGCAGUGGGGAAUAUUGGACAAUGGGCGCAAGCCUGAUCCAGCCAUACCGCGUGGGUGAAGAAGGCCUUCGGGUUGUAAAGCCCUUUUGUUGGGAAAGAAAUCCAGCUGGCUAAUACCCGGUUGGGAUGACGGUACCCAAAGAAUAAGCACCGGCUAACUUCGUGCCAGCCGCCGCGGUAA
rnacentral:rRNA from 1 species